rnacentral:rRNA from 1 species
UAAGUAGGGGGCAAGCGUUGUCCGGAAUCAUUGGGCGUAAAGAGCGUGUAGGCGGCCCGAUAAGUCCGCUGUGAAAGUCCAGGGCUCAACCCUGGGAUGCCGGUGGAUACUGUCGGGCUCGAGUCCGGAAGAGGAGUGUGGAAUUCCUGGUGUAGCGGUGAAAUGCGCAGAUAUCAGGAGGAACACCAAUGGCGAAGGCAGCACUCUGGGACGUGACUGACGCUGAGACGCGAAAGCGUGGGGAGCAAACAGG